rnacentral:rRNA from 1 species
AGUGAACGCUGGCGGUAGGCCUAACACAUGCAAGUCGAACGGCAGCACAGUAAGAGCUUGCUCUUACGGGUGGCGAGUGGCGGACGGGUGAGGAAUACAUCGGAAUCUACUUUUUCGUGGGGGAUAACGUAGGGAAACUUACGCUAAUACCGCAUACUACCUACGGGUGAAAGCAGGGGAUCUUCGGACCUUGCGCGAUUGAAUGAGCCGAUGUCGGAUUAGCUAGUUGGCGGGGUAAAGGCCCACCAAGGCGACGAUCCGUAGCUGGUCUGAGAGGAUGAUCAGCCACACUGGAACUGAGACACGGUCCAGACUCCUACGGGAGGCAGCAGUGGGGAAUAUUGGACAAUGGGCGCAAGCCUGAUCCAGCAAUACCGCGUGGGUGAAGAAGGCCUUCGGGUUGUAAAGCCCUUUUGUUGGGAAAGAAAAGCAGCAGGUUAAUACCCCGCUGUUCUGACGGUACCCAAAGAAUAAGCACCGGCUAACUUCGUG